AACCUCCGCAAUGUGAGAAAUCGCGACGGGGGGAUCCCAAGUGCCAUUCUUAACGGGAUGGCUUUUCAUUAGUGUAAAGAGCUUUUGGAAUAAGAGCUGGGCAAGACCGGUGCCAGCCGCCGCGGUAACACCGGCAGCUCUAGUGGUAACAAUUUUUAUUGGGCCUAAAGCGUCCGUAGCCGGUUUAAUAAGUCUCUGGUGAAAUCCUGUAGCUUAACUGUGGGAAUUGCUGGAGAUACUAUUAGACUUGAGACCGGGAGAGGUUAGAGGUACUCCCAGGGUAGAGGUGAAAUUCUGUAAUCCUGGGAGGACCGCCUGUUGCGAAGGCGUCUAACUGGAACGGUUCUGCGGUGAGGGACGAAAGUUAGGGGCGCGAACCGGAUUAGAUACCCGGGUAGUCCUAACUGUAAACGAUGCGGACUUGGUGUUGGGGUGGCUUUGAGCUGCUCCAGUGCCGAAGGGAAGCUGUUAAGUCCGCCGCCUGGGAAGUACGGUCGCAAGACUGAAACUUAAAGGAAGU
rnacentral:rRNA from 1 species